rnacentral:rRNA from 1 species
GGGACUCAGGUCAGGCGGGGCUAC